rnacentral:rRNA from 1 species
UACGAAGGGGGCUAGCGUUGUUCGGAAUUACUGGGCGUAAAGCGCACGUAGGCGGUUUUUUAAGUCAGAUGUGAAAGCCCCGGGCUCAACCUGGGAAUUGCAUUUGAAACUGGGGAACUAGAGUGUGUGAGAGGGGGGUAGAAUUCCAAGUGUAGCGGUGAAAUGCGUAGAGAUUUGGAGGAAUACCAGUGGCGAAGGCGGCCCCCUGGCACAACACUGACGCUCAGGUGCGAAAGCGUGGGGAGCAAACAGG